rnacentral:rRNA from 1 species
GUUGAACGCUGGCGGCAGGCCUAACACAUGCAAGUCGAGCGGAGCGGCGGACGGGUGAGUGAGGACUAGGAAUCUGCCUGGUAGUGGGGGAUAACGUCCGGAAACGGGAGCUAAUACCGCAGACUAGCAGAUGAGCCUAGGGCGGAUUAGCUAGUUGGUGGGGUAAAGGCUUACCAAGGCGACGAUCCGAAACUGGUCUGAGAGGAUGAUCAGUCACACUGGGACUGAGACACGGUCCAGACUCCUACGGGAGGCAGCAGUGGGGAAUAUUGGACAAUGGGCGAAAGCCUGAUCCAGCCAUGCCGCGUGUGUGAAGAAGGUUUUCGGAUUGUAAAGCACUUUAAGUUGGGAGGCGUUACCAACAGAAUAAGCACCGGCUAACUUCGUGCCAGCAGCCGCGGUAAUUC